GCACAGCUCGCAGUGCCGUGCUCCGCAGGGAGGGCUCGGGCCAUCAGGGCCCAACCCCGCAGCUUCAGGAAACUUCACCUGCAGCUUUGCAAAGCCUCCUCUAUCCCGAGCCCUACCAGACCAGCUCCCGAAAUACAGGCUUGAUAAAAUCGUGCCCCAUGGUUUGGUUCCCCUCAGGUGGAACAGAGUAGAUAAUUUACAGGUUGACAGGAUGAAACUGGCAGGAAAUUGAUGAAACCAGGCCGAACUGUCCUGGCUUUUGUCCUGCUGUAAGCACUCUUCAGCUCCUUGUGGCUGGACAACAGCAAUGGGAAGGUUCCAGGGAAGGAAGCUGCCCUUUUGUUCCCAAGGACAAGGGCAGGAGCCCUUUCCUCCAGUAAUAUUUACUCGAUGGAGGCAGACCAGUCGAGCACCACGAAUGACAGAUGAAUAAGAAGAAUCAGGAAUAACAACUAAGAAUAAAUAUCUCUGCAAACCCUCAGUGUCGUUUGUAGGAGAUAUUCUACACUGACUCAAGAGGAAAAAGAAAGAAGACAGACUGUGACUUAAAAAUGCUCACAACUGGAAUGUUAGUAUCCUUAGCAGGUAAAUAAUUGCACCCUUCAUACUUCCUCAUUUAUGUGUUAAUAGUUGACAAGCAAAAAAAAGAUGUGACAGCACAAUUAAAUGUGUCUGUGUAACACACCAAGGGGUUAUUUCCACUCUUUUUUUAUGUUGAUCAGA
rnacentral:lncRNA from 1 species